UAGUAGGUUUUAUAACUGUUAAACAUGGUAAAAAAGUUAUGUGAUAGUUUCACAAAGGUUUAACAAAAAACAAAAAGUUUUUUAUUCAUAAAAAAUAAUAUAGUGGACGUUCUAACACAAAUAAUGUAAAGUCGAAGCCAAACAAUCGUCAGACAAAUCAAUUUUGACCAUUGUUCAAUUUUAAUUUUAUCUUUAACUCCUUUCAUGUUUCUUUCCACCUCUAAAUUGCAUUCAAAUGUCAAACUUAAAUGUAAUCUUUUGAAUUUUUACAAAAAUUUACCACCUUUUUUGAACAAUUGGUAAACUUUUUACAGAACAUCCAUAGAAGUUAACAAUUUUUUGUUCUUCAUAUUUUGGUACACACCUAUAUAUAUAAGCCCAUCUGGAUGACAUUUUGUCAUUUAAGUGGCCAUAAAAUGAUAGAAAAUGUUUCAGACUAUAUCAGAUUAUUUGUACUCCUAUCUAAUCGAAUACAUAGACAUAGACUUCACUCUAUGGCUAUCAUGGAUGCUUAUGCCCCUUAUCCUCACAUUUCUUCUUCCAAUGGUAAUCCUUGCUCUUUUUUACACCACCGCUGUCAUCCUUUACGUUUACAAAUACUGGGAUCGCCUGAAAUAUGCUUAUGAAAAUGACUUUUGGGAUGGUGCCAGGAAGACAGUGGCAGCUUUGUGGGAUGCCCAUGGUUGGAUCUGGCAUGGCUAUGAGAUCCGUGGCAUGGAAAACAUACCGGAAGAUGAAGCCGUACUUUUUGUCUACUAUCAUGGAACACUUCCAGUCGACUUGUACUAUUUCAUUGCUCGAAUUUACCUGGUAACAAACAAAUUGAUUCAUACAGUUGGUGACAGGUUUCUUUUCAAUGUUCCUGGUUGGUCUAUCAUAUCAGAAGGGAUCAAGGUGAUCCCCGGGACUCUGCAGACAUGCUCUGCCAUCCUGAAAGAAGGAAAUUCACUUGCAAUUUCUCCUGGAGGAGUUUUUGAGGCUCAAUUUGGAGGUCCUGACUAUCGUUUGAUGUGGAAGAGGAGGCUCGGCUUUGCCAAAGUCGCCUUAGAUGCUAAAGUUAGCAUAGUGCCAAUGUUUACCCAAAAUGUUCGAGAGGCAUUUCGUAAUGUUACUUUCGGUAGGCGCAUUUGGCUAAAACUCUAUCUCAAAACACGACUUCCUCUUGUUCCUAUUUAUGGAGGAUUUCCUGUAAAGCUCAUAACUCAUGUCGGCAAACCGAUAAGUUAUAAUGUCUGUGAUGGCACUCCUGAGGAUCUUCAAAAGAUAGUAGCUAAAGCGAUUAGCGACCUCAUUGACACCCAUCAGAAACUCCCUGGAUCUAUUUUGAGAGGAGUUGUCGAGCGUGUUUACGCUACACCCAAACCGACUGAAUUAAUCAAAGAAGAUUAACGAGAAAGAAAAAAUUACUUUAAAAAAAAUUACUUUCACUGUUCAAAUGUUAAUAUAAAAGAAGCUUUUUCGUUGAUGAAAAAUAGUAGAGAAAAAAUAUCAAUAUCCAUAAAUGCAAGAAAUGACAUGUUCCUAUUGAUAUUUUAUUACUUAUUAGUGGCAAUGUGAAACUAUCGAACAGAACUGUGCGUUGUUGGCAAGGCUGAAAAAAAGUAACGAGUUUACUUUUAGCAUUUCAAAUAUGGAUUUAAAUUUUAUAAGGUAUUGUUAUUGAAAUCAGCCUUAAAAUGAAGUUAAAUAAUAUAACACCAGUUAAAUAAUAUAAUCAAGUAGUGCUUCCACUUAUAAGUGUGGUGAGUGAAGUGUUUUAAAUGUUAAUACUUGAUUUAUUUAGACCUUUUAGUACCAAUUAUUAUGGAACAAAUAAAAAAAGGCUGUUUUUUCUUUUUAAAAAAUUACUAACAACACUUAAACUUCAUACAGACACGCUCUCCUGGCUAAUGAAAUAUCAUUUAUGUAAUUUUAUAUUAUUAUUUUUAAUCACUUGUUGAGAUUUGGAAGAAGACAAUGAAUUAACUUUUUUAAAAAUAUUUAUUUGGGGUCAGUUUCUAGACUUUGUCUAUUCAAUGUGCAUCAUUUUAAUUAUAUUGUGAGAAUCGCUGCUUUAUUUUCUUCUUGCUUCAUGAUUAACAUAAUGUUACAAACAUAAAGGGGGUGUGUAAAAGGGUAAAAUAUGUAUUAAAAGAGAAUUUUGGUAGGGUUUAAUGUAAUUUUAAAUAAAUAAACUUUACUCUAAUACAAGAUAAACGUAUUACCUUGUGCUUUUGUAUAUAAUUAUAUCUAUUAUAGUACGUAUUAUAAAUUUAUAAAGUACUUACAAGGUAUACAUUCAUUGAUGUGUACUCAAAUGGUGAUUUUUGUAAAACUGGUGAUAUAUUGAGAUAAACAUUGUUGAAUAAAAAGUAGACUAACAAAUAAACAAAUAUUUUUCCUGUACACAAGAAAAAACAUACGAACAAUUUUGUAAAGUUGGUGAUCUGCUAAUGCAAUAUAGAGAAUAAAAGUAUAUUAAAUUGAAUAAACUUUUU